UACGUAGGGUGCGAGCGGUAAUCGGAAUUACUGGGCGUAAAGUGUGCGCAGGCGGCUUCGCAAGUCGAGUGUGAAAUCCCCGAGCUUAACUUGGGAAUUGCGCUCGAAACUACGGAGCUGGAGUGUGGCAGAGGAAGGUGGAAUUCCACGUGUAGCGGUGAAAUGCGUAGAGAUGUGGAGGAACACCGAUGGCGAAGGCAGCCUUCUGGGCCAACACUGACGCUCAUGCACGAAAGCGUGGGGAGCAAACAGG
rnacentral:rRNA from 1 species